UGCCAGGGCCGGGCUCUCUGCCGCCUGCCAGCACUUUCCCCCCUGAUAUUCCGUCUGGGGGAGGCCCAAGGGGACCCGCUGUGCUGCCCGGGGUACAUUGUCCUUUGCCGUCCCUCACAGGCAGUCAUGUCCCGAGUGCUUUGGAGCUGCCUGAGGAUUGCCACGGCGCUGAGCGGCCAGGAGGGGAACUCCAGCCACCACAGAGCCAUAACAAUGGGCAGAAAUGACCUCUCUGAACACAGCAGUGCUGACCUAUUUCAGAUCUUCUGAAUGGCAUGCACCAUUUAUCUGCCACUUCUUUAACCAGUUCAAGUCAAGCAUCAGUGUCCAUGCUUCCACCAAAGUAUUAGUCAAUGGUUUUCCCAGUGUUUCUGGAAGCAUUAUGGUUAAGAUUCCACUCAGAAGAGCCAUGAUUCCAACAAGCAACUGGAAGAAAUAAAGAGUAGGUGUAAAGGCAUGUUCACAGAGCUAUAAUUUCCCUGCCACCUGGAAUCUCAAUUCACACUCCAGCUCCUGUGUACCUCUACCUGUGUGCUUGUUCCUUCUCUACACAGCCAGACUGGAAUUUCUCAAUAGGGCUCAUUGGCCCAGAGCCACAGAAGUGCACAUCUGUGCUCAGGAGAGCUCUUCAGCAUCUGCUAGCCCCCAACAGGAAUACUUUGCUAAACUCAGUUUUGAAGAACUGUGAGGAGUGCAGGCAUCUACUGACAUUUGCACUGAGAUCACAUUUUGGAUUUGUCCAUGGUGUACACAAUUCCACAGCAGCACCAUAAGUGGUGCAAGGAUCAGGACAAUGUGGGGUCAGUAGAGAAACACUCACUUGUUCCAGGAAUAUCUACUCUUUCCAUUCACAUUCCCUUCACACAGACAUUUCUAUUUCUUGUUCAAUGACACCAACUCCCACUUUGCUCCUCUGAGUACAGAACAGCAUUAAACCCCUGACAGUCCUCCAACACCAGGUUAUAAAUGACCUAAUUCUCUCCUGAUAGAAAAGCUUUCACACAGAACAUCCUGCCUGGUCUCAGUGUUUUUCCAUUCUGUGACUGUGAACUUUGAUGCUGUACUAUCCUUAUCUUGCCCUGUGCUGAUUCUGAAGUCUGUCCUUUGCUCAAUGCAUUCUUUCCAAGGGUGAGAGAGAACAUUUGGAAUCACUGUGCCUACAUCUCUCACACAGAGCUUGAGACAAGAGCUGCCCAGCUACCAUCUGCAGCUAAGCCAGACUUUAAGUCAGGAAGGUGCUUUAAAAUCAGAAUUCCCUACUGUAACCUUGAACACUGCUAUUUGCCUGCCCAUGCACCAUGCUGGUUUUGCUUCUCUUCCCUUCCAAAAAAAAAAGAGGAGUUUGUUUUGUGUAUUCUUUUAAGAAGCAAAAUGCAGUGUUGCUUACGCUCCUUUUUGCUUUGCAAUAAAUAUAGAGGCCAAACCCAAAAAAAAAAAAAAAAAAAAAAAAA